GGCCAGUUAGCUCAGGUGGUUAGAGCAUGGUGCUCGUAACACCAAGGUUGUCAGUUCGAUUCCCACAUGGGCCA